rnacentral:lncRNA from 1 species
GCGGAUAAAACACAGGCGACAGAUUCGCUUCUGCAACGUGUCAAUCAAUUACAAGCCGUGCUCCGCCAGAAAGCGCCCACGUGUCCUACACAAACAGUAAAUAAUAUUAUCUUAAUGCAACCUCAGUCAACAAGUCAACCCAUUUGCUUAACUAUCACUUAAUCCAAAGUAAUUAAAACCCCCGCUAAUCUAAUCAUUUCCGCGCCUCCUAUUAAUAUCUCUGUAAACGGAACCCUUCACUCAAAAUUUAAAAACCAACCUUUUGAAGCUGAGACAACAAUGGCGAAACAGAGCUACUUAGCGAUGAAGAUCGACGGAGCAAGCAGCGCACUGAUUGCUUCAGAUUUCAACGAACUAGCCGCCGCAGCGAAGAACUUGGCAAUCCACGUCGGAGCCGUCGCCGGAUUCGGAACCUCCCUGUUCCAGUGGCUCGCUGCAAUCUCCGCCAUGUAAAAUGCUUGUUGCUCGAAACCCUAAUUUCUUUUCAUUUUUUGUUUUUGUAUCGUCGAUUUGAAUGGAAUUGGAUCGUUCUGUAUGUGUAACAGAUAUCUACUGAUACUGGAUCGGACGAAUUGGAAGACUAACAUUCUCACAGGGUUACUCAUCCCUUACAUCUUCUUCACCUUGCCUCAUUUCCUCUUCAGUUUCCUCCGGUAAAGUUCAGAUUUGGACGAAUCUUUCCUUGAUUAGAUUUCAAACUGAUGAAUUGAAUGUUCAUUGAACCAAUUUUUUUACCUGGAGUUUUGCUUACAGAGGGGAGAUCGGGAAAUGGGCUGCGCUCGUCGCUAUUGUGGUUCGCCUGUUCUUCCCCAGCCAAUUCGCAGGUGAGAUUAUAGAGUCUGGUGUAAAAUUUACUUCCAUCAAUCCUGGUUAAUAUAGCCUUUAAUCAGCACUGGUUGUUGGAUAAACGGAAGUUCCCAGAAGAGUACAAGGUUUGCAGAACUUGAUAUUGGGAGAUAGUUUAUGAUGUGAUAUCAGACUUUUUGUUUAACAAAAAAGCCAUCGUUUCAAAUUUCAAUAACUCCAAAUCUGUUACCAAAACUGUGCAAAACUCCAAGCCGUGUACCCCCUGAUAGCCUCCCUUCGAGGAGCAGGGGUAUUAGCUCAUAAUCUAAAAUCAAUUUAAAUCAUCUUCCAAUGACUCGAGUUAGUUAUCAGAGCCUUUAACGUUUACGAGGUCUUCGUUUCAAAUUUAGGUAGUUUCCAAUCUGUACACAUAACUUAUCAAAAUUAUAAAAAUUUCAACUUGAAGAUUAAAGAGGCAUGUUGAUAAAUAAUAUAAAAUUAUGGUCUGACCUUUUUUCAACCACUUUUGAAUUAUUAGAAUAAAAUAGUUCUCGACGUGGAUUAAAAAAACUUGACAUUUUGUCCUUUUGGGAUUCAAAAACUUCAGAUUUUGUCAUGAAUUAUGGCUUUUUGAGUCAUUUUAUAUCGUUCAUUGCCAGUUAUUGGAAUCGAUUAUAGACUAAAUGAGAUUGUUGGAAUCUUUUUUGGUACAGAAUGGCUAGAGAUGCCGGCUUCGUCGAUCCUACUAAUAGUGGUGGCACCAGAGUUGAUCGCCGGCUACGCGAGAGGGAACUGGAUCGGAGUAGCGAUAUGCCUUGGGAUUGCCUGCUACUUGCUCCAGGAACACAUCAGAGCCUCCGGCGGGUUUAAGAACGCCUUCACCAAAGAAGCAGGAAUCUCCAACACCAUUGGAAUUUGUCUCCUCUUUGUUUACCCUGCCUACUCUCUCAUCAGAAGUAUCCUCUGAGAGAGAUUAGUUGUGAUUUCUUUCAGUGUUUGCUUUUGUGUUUCUUUUUUUGCGAUUCAAUUAAAAUUAAUGGGUUUGGACAGCAAUGUUAUCAAAUUUGAUGAUGUUGUUGUCCUACCGUAUGCAUUCUUGUUCAUGUCUUUUUCUCGAUUUAAAAGGUAGAGCUCCGAUCUUUGGUUGAUAAACUUGUUUAUCGGAGUCCGAGUUGUGACUCAUAUUGAUUGCCGACUGACAAACGAUACCCGAAAAGACACAACCUUCAUCAAGAUCGGUGUGACAUUGGGUCAAAAUAUCGCUAAACUAUGUAAAAUCGGUCUCCCGCCCGCCAGCCGUCAGACGACCUCUUUAACGUCCGUUUCAAACACCACCUUCUCAUGGCCAGCAUCCACCUCAUUGCAGCCAGCAGAGCGCGGGCCUCGCUUUCGAUCCCCGGAGUUUAUUAAGAUUUUUUAACCACAUUCAUAUAAUUUGAUUUCUUCAAUGAUUAAUCUCGGCAGCUGUAGUUCAUUAAACGCAGUGCGGAUUUUGCUUAAUCGUCCGCCCCUACGGACACUUUAAUACAACGGUGGGUCAUGGGUCCGUUCGGAUCCAACGGUGAAAUAUGUCCAACUUGUUUUUUUUUUCAUUUUUUCCUACACCAUAUCUUUUCGAUUUGAGUUGGUUUUAUAUUGAGUUUUGGGUUGCGAUUUUGGAUUUUUGGGUUUUAGAUUUUGGGUUUGGUUUAGUGUAAAAAAAUAAUGUUCAUGUUCGGUUGGUUUUAAUUUUGAGUGUUGGGUCAAACUGAAAAUUUAAAAUCCAAAUUGAAAACCUAAUACUCCAUACCCUAAACCUUAAACUCUAAACAUAUCCAAAAUAAAAAAACCCAAAACUACGCAAAAUUCAAUUUAAAACCAACUCGAACCAAAAAGAUNNNNNNNNNNNNNNNNNNNNNNNNNNNNNNNNNNNNNNNNNNNNNNNNNNNNNNNNNNNNNNNNNNNNNNNNNNNNNNNNNNNNNNNNNNNNNNNNNNNNNNNNNNNNNNNNNNNNNNNNNNNNNNNNNNNNNNNNNNNNNNNNNNNNNNNNNNNNNNNNNAUUUUAUUUUUAUAAAAUUAUAAAUAAAAAAUAUGAAAUAAAUAUAUCUUGUGAAUAUUAUAAAAAUAGAUUUUAAUUUAUUAAAAUGGACUGCACGAAGUAAAAACAGACUGUACGAAGGAAAAGUGGAUUGUGUUCGUAAAAAUGGAUUGGACAAAGUAAUUUUUUUAAUUAAGAGUAUAUUAGUUUAUAUACGGACUGUACGAAAUAAAGACAGACUAUAUAUAACAUUAAAAAAAAACACAAGUUGAAAACAUAUCACCGUUGGAUUCUGCCGAAUUCAUCAACGACCGUAUCAAGUCUCCACCGGGGCGGACGAUUAAGCAGUCCGCACCCAAGUAAUUUUGCAUUCAACACCCAGCUCACUGUAUCCAAAACUUAACAGCUCAAACAAAAAGAAAACAAUAUCCAAUAGUAGAAAUAUGCGGAUAUCAAUAGAUUCGCAUCGGCCACGUGUCGACCAUCUACAAGUGGUUUUCCGCCAGCAAGCGCUGACGUGGCCUACACAAAUAAUGCACUGAGUCAACAAGUCAACUCAUUUGCUUAACCGACAAUUAAUUCAAAGUAAUUAAAACUGCUAAUCUAAUCAAUAAUCAUUUCCGAAGGCAUACUUUUGCAGCGGAAGGAAUCCCCCCUAUUGAGAGGAAUUAGGGUUUUAAAAAUCUAUAAACUUUCGAGGUCGAUCGUAGUCUUCUUUCCAUCGAAUUUCCCCCCGACAAUAACACCACCAUCGUCUCUAUCACGAUUACAUAAUCAAAACAAGUUAAGGGUUUCAACAACCCUCGAUAUUUUCUUUCAACGCUGAUUGUUGCAUCGCUGUGUCGCUUUCCUCCCUUUAUUGAUCAUUACCGUCGCCCCCUCUCCCCUCUCCACCCGCCGAUCACCAUGGCGAGCACUACAACCACUGUUGCGGAGACGACCGAAGAAGAAACUGAAGCAAAUAGUGUCAUAAAAGGUGUGGUAUAAAGUUUCGAGAGCCUCUCGAAACAUAUGAAAGGUAUUCAGGGAAAUCCAAAAAAUCUGACAACGGCAGAUUUGAACAACAGGUCCUGCCCCAAGAAGUGAUCCGCCGACGAAAACUCACUUGAGGUAUCGGUUUUUCAAGUGUUUGAUAUUUUGGGUGUCUCCAAUUCGGAUUUCACCAGUCUUUUAUUGCUUUUUAAGUUUCAGAAUUCAUAUGUUUCUUUCUGAUUGAACAAUUAUUUAUUUAUUUAUUUUCAUUAUUGCUAUCGUGUAGAAUUUAGAGUUUGAAAUAUUAACUCAUAUAUAAGGGUUUUUGAUAGAGAAAUGAUUAAAAACAUAAAAAUAAGAGAUUAAAUUACUUUUUUAUAAGGUUGAACUUUACUCGUUAUGAAUGAUAAUUUUUUUUUAAAAUUAUUUGACAAACUUAAUAUGAUUUGGUUAAGAGUAUAAUAAUAUAAGUAGAUCAUUUUUUAAACCCAAAAUCAAUUAUCAUUUCCGGCCUCCUAUUAAUAUCUCUGUAAAAUAAAUCAUUCACUCUUAAGAGCUGAAACAAUGGCGAGACAGAGCUACUUAGCGAUGAAGAUCGACGGAGCAAGCACCGCACUGAUCGCUUCCGAUUUCAACGACCUAACCGCCGCAGCGAAGAACUUAGCAAUCCACGUCGGAGCCGUUGCCGGAUUCGGAACCUCCCUGUUCCAGUGGCUCGCUGCAAUCUCCGCCAUGUAAAAUGCUUGUUGCUCGAAACCCUAAUUUCUUUUCAUUUUUUGUUUUUGUAUUGUCGAUUUGAAUGGAAUUGGAUCGUUCUGCAUGUGUAACAGAUAUCUACUGAUAC